GACAUGGAUUGGAUGGUGUUUAGGGCUGU
rnacentral:piRNA from 1 species